rnacentral:rRNA from 1 species
CCUACGGGUGGGCUGCAGUGGGGAAUUUUGGACAAUGGGCGCAAGCCUGAUCCAGCCAUGCCGCGUGAGUGAAGAAGGCCUUCGGGUUGUAAAGCUCUUUCGGCGGGGACGAAACGGUUCGUGCCAACACCACGGAUCAAUGACGGUACUCGCAGAAGAAGCACCGGCUAACUACGUGCCAGCAGCCGCGGUAAUACGUAGGGUGCAGGCGUUAAUCGGAAUUACUGGGCGUAAAGCGUGCGCAGGCGGGAAAUCCCCGGGCUUAACCUGGGAACUGCGUUUGAAACUGGGGAGCUGGAGUGUGGAAGAGGGGGGUGGAAUUCCAUGUGUAGCAGUGAAAUGCGUAGAGAUAUGGAGGAACACCGAUGGCGAAGGCAGCCCCCUGGGCUAACACUGACGCUCAUGCACGAAAGCGUGGGGAGCAAACAGGAUUAGAUACCCCUGUAGUC